UGCUUGUCUCAAAGAUUAAGCCAUGCAGUCUAUGCACAAGCCGAAUACGGUGAAGCCGCGAAUGGCUCAUUACAACAGCCACUGUUUACUUGAUUCUGAUUAUCCUACUUGGAUAACUGUGGUAAUUCUAGAGCUAAUACAUGCAACCAAGCUCCGACCGUAAGGGACGAGCGCAUUUAUUAGAACAAAACCAAUCGGGCUUCGGCCUGAGGUUUGGUGAAUCUGAAUAACUGAGCUGAUCGCAUGGUCUUUGUACCGGCGACGCAUCUUUCAAGUGUCUGCCUUAUCAACUUUCGAUGGUAGUUUAUGUGCCUACCAGGGUUGUAACGGGUAACGGAGAAUAAGGGUUCGACUCCGGAGAGGGAGCCUGAGAAACGGCUACCAGAUCCRAGGAAGGCAGCAGGCA
rnacentral:rRNA from 1 species